UUAAAUUGAAGAGUUUGAUCAUGGCUCAGAUUGAACGCUGGCGGCAGGCCUAACACAUGCAAGUCGAACGGUAACAGGAAGCAGCUUGCUGCUUCGCUGACGAGUGGCGGACGGGGGAGUAAUGUCUGGGAAACUGCCUGAUGGAGGGGGAUAACUACUGGAAACGGUAGCUAAUACCGCAUAACGUCGCAAGACCAAAGAGGGGGACCUUCGGGCCUCUUGCCAUCGGAUGUGCCCAGAUGGGAUUAGCUAGUAGGUGGGGUAACGGCUCACCUAGGCGACGAUCCCUAGCUGGUCUGAGAGGAUGACCAGCCACACUGGAACUGAGACACGGUCCAGACUCCUACGGGAGGCAGCAGUGGGGAAUAUUGCACAAUGGGCGCAAGCCUGAUGCAGCCAUGCCGCGUGUAUGAAGAAGGCCUUCGGGUUGUAAAGUACUUUCAGCGGGGAGGAAGGGAGUAAAGUUAAUACCUUUGCUCAUUGACGUUA
rnacentral:rRNA from 1 species